UUCUUCCAAACACACCUCUACUUCACUUCCCUUCCCACGGUCAGUAAAAGCAAAAGCAGAAGAGCAGCUCCAGGAAACCCAACUUCCAAUUUUUCCGUUGUCCUUUCAUUCUUACCCACCGGAGCCGAUCUUCUCUCCCCUUUCCCACCUUGCGCUCACCGGAUUGAGAACGGACACGAACCGCCGGUGGUGUGAACGGGUUUUUUUUUUCUCUUCCGGUAGUCGUGAGGGGAACGUGGCGGCCGUUGGUGUUCAGCUGGGUGAUCUGCGAUUUUGGUGAAAGAAAGGGGCGUUUGGUUGCAGGCUCAAAUUCAUACAAACUGAAGAGCAAUUGUCCAAUCUCCUGCAUUUUCUUCUUGAGGACUUUGGGACGUUGGCGUUUUUUCUUUCACUUUCCAACUUCAACGAAAAAUUGAGCUAUUAAGUGAACAUCCUGGCUCCGGCCCUGGCUACAGUCUACAAACUCUUCAAAUGCAACUCCCUCGUAAUUUUGAUCUUCAACAAAGUGUCACCGGUUUUACAAAGGGCUUUGCUCGGACAUUGGGAGAUUAUGUGCCCUAGUUGUUGACAUCAAUGGUAUAUCUUGUCUCUGCUAAAUGCCAAGGGAUCUCCUGCUAUUGUUAUUUGUUAUUAUACAUACUUUCCCAUAAGCAUAAUUGCUUCAAUCA